rnacentral:lncRNA from 1 species
AAACUGGUACAAUGAGACAACUUCAGGGAGGUAAUUAUGUAUUAUCCCUUUUUUUAAUUUGAUCUAAACUUUUUGGGUUUAAGGCAUGAAGGAGAAGAGUGUAGGGCAGCAAGAAAGAGACAACUUGGAGCUCUUCAUCGGAAACAAAGGUGAACUUUCUCUCAUCUCUUAGUUUCGUGCAUGUUCUGUGCUACCUCUUUUUCAUCUCAAGAGUUGUCCUUCUCUCUGUUUAAUUUAGAUUGUGGAAUAUAGAUAUCUAUGUUGAUUCAGCAGAUUUAACUUGGUCGGAAUCUUUUGGUUGACUGCGCUACGACAAUUUCAUCAGAAAAUUCUAAAUAUCCAAACGCUAAUUUCAAAAUUUGACGUAGCUCUAUAAAUUUUUAGAAAAUAUGAUGGAUUCUGUACUUAGAUAGAGCUAUGAUUUAUUGAUACAGAUAAUAUUCUCACUAUUAGAUUUGGGUAUUGUUCUCUCUUGUGUAUGUUGGUUUCAUUCAGUGUUAUCAAAGGCGUGCUUAAAGCGCCUUAAGCCCUGAAACAAGGCUCAAAACAUGUUGAGCGCCUCGCCCGCAUACCAAGCGCUUCAGUAUUGUCAUCAAGGCUCUAAGACAUACUUUUCUUUGCCGAUGAGUGUAAUCCUGAAAACGCGACACUAAACAAUUGAUAUUUUGAUAUUUCACUUUGUCAUAAAUUAUCUUCAGUUUUUUUGUCGAUAUAUUUGGUACUCAUGCUUAUAAAUAUUAGUCUUGGACUACACAUACAUAUUUGUCGUUUUUCUCUGUUUGCACUUUUCUUUAUUAAAGCUCAUGCUUUAUUUGCACUUUGCGCUUAAAGCCCCAACAGACCUUAGAGUAUUUUUGCGCUUUUCGCCUUUAAUAACACUGGUUCAUGGCCGUAAGUAACAAGAACAGGAGUGUGCAGAACUUUCAGCACAACCUUUGGUAGUUCACUUUUCUACAAAAUAUUUGCUCUCGACAUGGAUGAACGGUGUUAAUAAAGAAAAACUUAGAUGUAUAGCAAAUGUGUGACUUUAAAUACAUGUAAUUGAUUCGUCGCUUGUGUGUCUAUAUAUUUGCAGUUCAGUUUCGCUUUUCGAGUCUCCUAGUGGGUAUAUAUCAAAAAUCAUAACGAUUUACAUUCUUACAAGUAAGUUUUCAUAUAUUGUAACACUUUUAAGUCAUACAAUAACCUCUCUUGAUUACUAUUUUCUUAUCAUACCCACUUCUGUUAAGCCUUUAUAUACCUCCUUCUUUAGUCCUAUGUAAUUGAAAUGCUAUUUUUGGUAUCUUUUUUAUCGUUGUUUACAGAAAAAUCGUUAUUUAGAUCAUUAGUGAACAAUUGAUGUGGAAGUAAGAAUUAUUGGUAAAGUUACUUUUAAAUUUCUGUUUUUACCUGGUGUUUUUAUAUUUUCUCGUGUCUACUGAUUUAUGCUUUUCUAUACACUCCUUUCAGCCAUAAUAUCAUGGUGGUCAGAAUUCCAUAUUAUAAUACUGAAAAGUUUCUCUGGAAUUGCCUCUUAUCCCCUACUGCUUUAUGGGAAAAUUGGAGUAAAAAGAAAUAGUGUGAAGGAGGAAAAAGAGCUGAAAGCAUCCUUUUUCAAAGUUUUCUUAAGUUAUAUUUCCUAGAUAUAUCAGUUAUAAAAGUAGUCAACAACCUUACUUGAGCAGGAUCAGUCACACAAUCAUGACUGACAACAACUAUUUUUUUAUACAAUUUUUGCCUGCUAAAGAGGCUUGUGUGUGAAUAACCUUCAAAAGAAGGCCUAGCUCAAAGGGGGUGGAUUUGUGUCUUAGGUCACAGGUUCAAGCCCCCACACCAUGCAAAGCAAAGCCUGGUAUUUAAGUGGAGAAGGGUAGAGGGGCGGGCCCAUUAUCCACCGAGUUUCGAAGGCUGCGGUUGGUCCAAAGGAUCAGCCCCAGACGGAUUUCUCGGUCAUCAAAAAAAAAGAAAGGUACCCAACAUUGCAGCAAAGGGCCUCUCUGUAGAGAUCAUCACAAAGGUACUUAACCACCUCUCUCUACCCUACAAAACACAUCAAUGCUUUGAUGUUGUUUCUCAGCACCUGAAAUUAGUUUUGGUCAUAUCUUAACAACUCUUGAAUUUUUUUCAUGGCUGAUACCAUAUGGAGGUUUGCCUUCAGCUACCUCUUUUUCUGUGUUUGGCAUCUUUAUGAGGGAGGUUUCUGGUUCUGAAAUAUUUAUUGUGUGUCGCUUAUCAUUGCUGAAACAUGAUAUAACAUGUAUGAAAAGGGUAGGUAUCGUAUAACUUUCUAUGUAAACUGAGUCAUUAACAAACUUUUACUAGAUAUAAUGGUUAAUAUAAAAUAUGGAUUUAAGAUUGCAUUGUGACACAUGAUGUAGCUUCAACACCAAGUUAGUGCUAAAAGUAGGGAUGGUACGCGGGACUUGAUUAGUUCUGUUAACAGAAUUUUGUAUCGUAGAAAAAUGAUGAAAAAUCUUAAGGGUGUGAUUUUUUCCCUUUAAAUCAUGCUCGAGAUUUUAACAUCAAAUUCGCUGUUUGUAGGCUUAUAAAGACAAACUUUUAACACUUCCAAUCCUAUCUUCAUAUAUGAUCCUUGUAACUUCUUGGACCAACAAAAAACUAGAGAAGUUGAGGGGUCGAAUUUAUAACAUAGCUUCUUGUUCUUUGUAAUAGUUGCUGCUUUGUCUAUUUGGAACAUUGAAAACUUGAUAAAUUUUAUUUUUUAUAGAAGGUUUAGUUAGUAACUUAGUAUUGACAAGUUUAAUUUGCAUUUCUUUUGCUGUAUGUUGAAAUAUAUUACCUUUUUUUUGUUGAUUUAUGUUGAAAUAUAUACUUAGCAACCUUAGCAGGCACCGUAUAGAGACUAUCAUUUUGCUCUGCUACUUUCAAGUUUCAUGGGAUGUGGAUUUGCUCUACUUGCAUAUACUCAUGUGUAUCAGUAUAUGCAAUAUCAACCUACAAGACAAGGCAAUCUAAUAACAAACUAUUGAGAAACAACAGAGUUCGACGGAACGCUUACCAUGACAGCUUUCCAUUAAGUAGCAAGCUGAAAAAGACGUAGUAAAUGAGGCUCUAGAUUGGUUGUUGAAAGGCACCGUUCUUAUGUCCUUUUUGCAUAUAUUUUUGUACACAUAUGGUAAAUAAAUAAAAAAUAUGCUCAUGUUGUAUGGAA